CCGGAGGAAGGUGGGGACGACGUCAAGUCAUCAUGGCCUGUAAGUCCAGGGCUACACACGUGCUACAAUGGCCGGUACAAAGGCCUGCGAGACCGCAAGGUGGAGCCAAUCCCAAAAAGCCGCCCUCAGUUCGGAUGGCACUCUGCAACUCGAGUGCAUGAAGGUGGAAUCGCUAGUAAUCGCGGAUCAGCAUGCCGCGGUGAAUACGUUCCCGGGCCUUGUACACACCGCCCGUCACAUCACGAAAGUCAGUUGCUCUUGAAGUCGCUGCGCUAACCGCAAGGAGGCAGGCGCCUACGGAGUGGCUGGUGAUUGGGGUG
rnacentral:rRNA from 1 species